UCCUACGGGAGGCAGCAGUCGGGAAUUUUGGGCAGUGGGCGAAAGCCUGACCCAGCAACGCCGCGUGAAGGAUGAAAUCCCUCGGGAUGUAAACUUCGCAAGAACGGGAAGAAUAAGUGAGAGCUAACAUCUCUUACGAUGACGGUACUGUUUGUAAGCUCCGGCUAACUCCGUGCCAGCAGCCGCGGUAAUA
rnacentral:rRNA from 1 species